rnacentral:lncRNA from 1 species
GUAAGCUUUCUUCUGUCUAAAGUUGUGUAAAAGGAGUUCGAUGGAGCUCCUUUACCAGCCAUAGCUGGGGACAAAUUUUGCUAACAAUAGGCAAGUAAACGUUUUAAAUUAUAGGAAGAAAAAGAAAUAAAGGGAAAGCCGGCCAAAACAGAGAAUAAAAUGGAAAUAAAUUCAGGAUGUGUUUACCUUCUAGACGCAUGAAUAUGAUCCAUUCCUUCAGGUACUUGGUUACACACAUUGUAGAAGUAAUUUUUAUUAAUUUCUGAACUAUAGUAUUUAUUGCAGUUACAGCAAGCCUUGCAGAAAUAAUCCUUGUGAUUUCUGAAGAUUCAUCGCUUUGAGGGAAAAAUGAUGAUUCAAACAGAGAUUUUCAUUUGGUACCAGAAGAAAGGUAAGCAUAUGCCCAUGUCACUCUCAAUGGGUUUACCGUUUAUGGGGGAAAUGGCUACAUGGAUUGGUGUCCCUAGAUAUUAAGGUUCUGAAACUGUUGCCAGAGGUGGCAACACGGAAAGCAGUACAGCGUAAACAGAGAUGACAGCAAGAAGUUUCCCUCUGUAACAUGGUGUACAGGUUCUAAUUAAAGUUCCCUGAUGCGUCGGAAAUUGCUGACAUAUUGAAGGAGUUCAUGGAUCCGGAGAUGUUUGGAUACCAGGGGCUAAACUUUAGCCCCUGUCACAUCGGAUGUUCGAAUGCUAAUUAGGAUGAUUAAACAUGAGCUAAUUACAAAACUAAUAGCAGAACCUCUAGGCUAAAUCGCGAGACGAAUCUAUUAAUCCUAAUUAAUUCAUCAUUAACAAAUGGUUACUGUAGCACCACAUUGUCAAAUUAUGGACUAAUUAGGCUUAAUAGAUUCGUCUCGCGAUUUAGCUUUGAGGUUGUGCAAUUAGUUUUGUAAUUAAUCUAUGUUUAAUACUCCUAAUUAGUGUCCAAACAUCCGAUGUGAUAGCUUCCAGUCUCGGAUCCCAGAUUUAGAUCGCGCACACGCAUAUAUAUCAAUAUAUGACACCCAACAUAAGCAAUUGGGUAAGCAUUUACCAACCACCAAUUUUUUCCUUCGGAAUUGAUUGACAAAACUGCCAGAUAUUUGAUGUAUGGUGCAUGAACCAUGAAAGAUGCUUCCUCAUGAUCUGUGUAUGGCACCUGAAUGCGUCUGCCACUGUGCUUAAAGAUUUAUCGGCAGUCUCACACAUAAAUGUGAGGAACUAUUAAGUCGAGCUUACCUUCUCAUUAGUAUCCGAACAUCCGAUGUGACAGGACUAAAGUUUAGCCCCUGGUAUCCAAACACCCCCUAAAUCGUCUAUUUGCAUAUAAUGAAGCUGUACCAGGGAGUGAUCAUUGCAGUUUACAAUCAUUCUCAGUCCAAUCUGCAUUAAAGUUCCGCAGAUCGAUGAGAAGAUGCAUAGCCGGAAUCUGAGUUGUGUCUCCAGUGUUUCUGCUACGGAUUCCGACAAACAUGUGGCUAUUCGUACGCUGUUCAUCAUCUACAACUCAUUUCAAAACCAACAGUUGAUAAUAUGAGCACAUCUCGUCGUGUUUUGCAGACACAAAUGGAGGACACUCAUCACGAUCCGGAGUUGAUUCAGAUUUCAGGCGGCCUUCAAGCCGCCAAACAUCCAGUAGAAUGAGGCACCCCACUUUUUCUUCCUUGAUCAAACUUUUCACCGGAACAUCAUUGCGUCAGUGAAGGCAACCUCACACUUGCCACGGUGAAAAGUGGGUUUCACUCCGGC